GGUGUUGCAAACCACCCUAGAGGAGCCUGUCCAAUAAUCGAUAACCCACGCUUCACCUUACCCGCUUUUGCACCUAACAGCCUAUAUACCGCCGUCGCAAGCCCACCUUUUGAAAGCGCCACUGUGGGCAAAAUAGCCUCCACACUUACACGUCAGGUCAAGGUGUAGCCAAUAAGCGGGGCUUUUGAUGGGCUACACUCUCUACACAAGAGACCAUACCUCCUAUGCAAUCGGACAAACCGCUGGAUUUAGUAGUAAACUUGACAAGCGAGUCAAACUGAAACAAGCGCUGCAACAUGUACACACCGCCCGUCACCCCCCUCGCAAAAAUACUUUAACUUAAAUAAAAACAAUCACUCACUAAGAUGGGGCAAGUCGUAACAAGGUAAGUGUACUGGAAAGUGCACUUGG
rnacentral:rRNA from 1 species